AUACGUAGGGGGCGAGCGUUGUCCGGAAUGAUUGGGCGUAAAGGGCGCGUAGGCGGCUUUGCAAGUCAGUAGUGGAAGUCCAUUUUUCAAGGAUGGAAGUGCUACAGAAACUGCGGAGCUUGAGUGCAGGAGAGGUUAUCGGAAUUCCCGGUGUAGCGGUGAAAUGCGUAGAGAUCGGGAGGAACACCAGUGGCGAAGGCGGGUAACUGGACUGCAACUGACGCUGAGGCGCGAAAGUGUGGGGAGCAAACAGGAUUAGAUACCCUGGUAGUCCACACUGUAAACGAUGAAUGCUAGGUGUAGGAGGUAUCGACCCCUUCUGUGCCGCAGUAAACACAGUAAGCAUGCCGCCUGGGUAGUACGUUCGCAAGAAUGAAACUCAAAGGAAUUGACGGGG
rnacentral:rRNA from 1 species